rnacentral:rRNA from 1 species
AGUUUGAUCCUGGUUCAGGAUGAACGCUAGCGGCGGGCUUAACCCAUGCAAGUCGAGGGGCAGCAUGUCCAGCAAUGGAUGAUGGCGACCGGCGGAAGGGUGGGUAACGCGUGAGCAACAUGCCCUAUACAGGGAGAUACACCAGGGAAACUUGGUCUAAUAUCCCAUAGCAUUCAUUGAAGGCAUCUUUAAUGAAUUAAAGCUUCGGUGGUAUAGGAUUGGCUCGCGUGACAUUAGCCAGAUGGUGAGGUAACGGCUCACCAUAGCAAUGAUGUCUAGGGGUUUUGAGAGGAAGGCCCCCCACACUGGGACUGAGACACGGCCCAGACUCCUACGGGAGGCAGCAGUGAGGAAUAUUGGACAAUGGAUGGAAAUCUGAUCCAGCCAUGCCGCGUGCAGGAAGACGGCCUUAUGGGUUGUAAACUGCUUUUAUACGGGAGCAAUAAGGGUUACGAGUAAUCCGAUGAGAGUACUGUAUGAAUAAGGAUCGGCUAACUCCGUGCCAGCAGCCGCAGUAAUACGGAGGAUCCGAGCGUUAUCCGGAAUUAUUGGGUUUAAAGGGUGCGUAGGCGGCCAUUUAAGUCAGCGGUGAAAUUUUGCAGCUUAACUGUAACAGUGCCGUUGAUACUGUUUGGCUAGGAUUUGGUUGUAGUGUGCGGAAUGUGUGGUGUAGCGGUGAAAUGCUUAGAUAUCACACAGAACACCGAUUGCGAAGGCAGCACACUAAGUCAUUAUUGACGCUGAGGCACGAAAGUGUGGGGAUCAAACAGGAUUAGAUACCCUGGUAGUCCACACUGUAAACGAUGAUAACUCGCUGUCGGCGAUACACAGUCGGUGCCAAGCGAAAGC